AAGCUCUCAUCAACCAUUCUCGUCUGAAUCUUCCAGUCUACUGCAUUGCUCUAGGUUUCAACAGGGGUGAUGGAGAUAAUAGUUUCACUAGAAGAAAAAGAAACAUUGAAAAAUGCCCGCCAUGAUAUGAUGCAAGUUAAAUCGACGAUAGAUAAUGCGUUAAGUGAUGAUCUAUCAUAUCAUAUUAUGAAAAGAAUGAUCUCAGAAGAUAGAAUAGCAAUCCCUAAAAAUUUUCGCACAUAUUUGAGAAAAAUUUUUUAUUUAAAAAAAGGUGUACGAAUAGACAGCCCACUGGAACUUAACAACUGGUUAAAAAAAAAUUUAGUUGAAAUCGAUAAUGACAUUGAUAACUUAGACCCACCUGCUGCUACGUGUAAUAAUUAUGAUGAAAUUUUUCGUUUCUUAAUCGGAUCAAAGAGUGUAAUAAAAUCAAAACAUAAAUCUCUGCUCAAGGAACAGAUGCUCUAUGGAUAUUUCUUGCAUCAGUUUUGUUUAAAACACUAUAACGAAUACGUAUUGGGAAUACGAAGCUCGACCAUCCAAACAGUAAUAACCGAAAACUUAGGUAUUUCUAUGUCUUAUGCUAAUAAAUUAAGAUGGAUAGGUAAAUUAGGAGCUAAAUUCGAAAAACUCGCAAAAUUAUCACUCCCUCUUUACGAAAUUUUUAGAAAACAGAGGAUGAUAACAAACUUGUUCAAACAUCACCCCGACCUAGCUGCCGAGUGGAUCCGUGUUCCAGCACCCAACAGCCCCGCCGACAACCAGUAAUUAUAAUGCGAAUAAAGUAGCCAGCUAAUAAGACCUAUCAGCUCCACUAUUCAUGCCUACAGCAACCUGUAAUUAUAAUGCGAAUAAAGUAGCCAGCUAAUAAGACCUAUCAGCUCCACUAUUCAUGCCUACAGCAACCUGUAAUUAUAACCUCUGAUACGAGCACUAUUGCCUCUGCCACGAGCACUAUUGCCUCUGAUGCGAGCACUAUUGCCUCUGCCACGAGCACUAUUGCUUCUGACACUCGCACUAUUGCCUCUGACACUCGCACUAUUGCCUCUGACACGAGCACUAUUGUCUAUUGCCUCUACCAACAUCAUAACUGCUUUUAGAAUAACCAAAAUUAUAAUUCUAUAAUCUUGACCAUCAGAACUGCCAUCGUAUUAACAUCGCGAGCAUGUUGGUUACCCAACAUGCUUUCUAGACAGCAUAGUACGUGGUAUGCGCAACUCGCUAAAAAAAUGUAUAUAUAUUUCGAUCCAUAUGCAUCUAGGCUAGUCACGUCAUGAGCUUGCAUCUAUGUAAUCUUGUAGUUUAAUUCUACGGCAAAUGCACUCCACACUUUAGUUUUUCGUUUACUUGCGUUGCAGUAGCUGACUGAUCAGUAUCGUCCCAAGGGGGUUGAUUGCUUUUGACUUUUGUUGUGAACGUUUUCCCAAUAUUAUGCAUUAGUUUUGAGAAACAGACAUCAUUCGAAACGCAUGAUUCACUCGUAACACGGCAUGUAUCACUUGCACCACAAUCAUACCCCUAUCACCACAUGUAUCACUACCAACACCACUACGCACAACUUUUGUCCCCACUCUCACCGCCACUCAUCACUUAUUUCUACCACUACCCACACUUAUCACUACCACUAAACACCACACACCAUUUAUCU